GACGAACGCUGGCGGCGUGCUUAACGCAUGCAAGUCAAACGGAAAGGCCCCUUUGGGGGUACUCGAGUGGCGAACGGGUGAGUAACACGUGAGUAACCUGCCCUUGACUUCGGGAUAACUUCAGGAAACUGGGGCUAAUACCGGAUAGGAAUCCUUGCUGCAUGGUGGGGGUUGGAAAGCUUCGGCGGUUUUGGAUGGGCUCGCGGCUUAUCAGCUUGUUGGUGGGGUAGUGGCUUACCAAGGCUUUGACGGGUAGCCGGCCUGAGAGGGCGACCGGCCACAUUGGGACUGAGAUACGGCCCAGACUCCUACGGGAGGCAGCAGUGGGGAAUAUUGCACAAUGGGCGGAAGCCUGAUGCAGCAACGCCGCGUGCGGGAUGACGGCCUUCGGGUUGUAAACCGCUUUCAGCAGGGGCGAAGCUUGUGGUGACGGUACCUGCAGAAGAAGCACCGGCUAACUACGUG
rnacentral:rRNA from 1 species